GGACGACGAGACGGCAGCAAACACCACAGAUUUUAGUAGAAGCGACGCGCCGCUCUCCAUUAUAUAUCGCCACAUGCGCGGCCCUCGCAAUCAUAUUUCCUCCGCCCAUGUGCUCCCUUUCUUGGACCAAACUCUCUUGGCGAUCAUCGCCUCCGCCAGCCCUGCACAGCAAUGGUUUCUAUAUAAAGGAUUUUGGCGGCAAGAGUUCGGGGCCAAUUAGAAGUAACCAGCAACAGAUGGGAGAAACAUGCUUCUGCCCAUGUCCAUGAAUAAACAAGUUCACUUGUCCAUGUUCUCAGCUUCUCAUAAACAAACUUCGAUGCAUAUAGAGGACCACCGAAGCUUUGGGAAGGAUUCAGUAGCGACCAUGAUCCUCUAUUUCUGCAGUACAUACAUAACUUGUCCUUGAGAUUUUUUAGCCUGUAAAUUAGACGUCAAAAGCAAUGGUCUUGUUCAGAGUUGCUGCUCGUCAAAAGAGGAACAGAAGAAAGAAAGAAAAAACCGGAGACGAUGAUUGCGAAUUAUUGAUGGAGGGAGGGAGCUGUCAAGAGGCCUAACAAUACUUGCAGGUCGACACACUUAAGAGCAAAGCAAUGGCCUGUCGGUUCAGAUGCCAUUGCUUGAUCUAUAGUUAGUGUACUAGGAAACCCUGCUGCUUUAUUCACCUCGGUCUCGAUGCAGAACUCCACCGUGGUUUGCUCAGGGUUCAGUAAUCCCCAGGAGAGGAUAUGAUGAGUUGAGCCGUCCAUAAACCAAAAAACUCUUGAUACGUCGCAGUCAUGAUAGCUUUCUCUCAGCUGAAGUCCAUGGAAACCUUGAUAGUGUUUCCUGGUUUAGGUUAGUGACUGGUCACUGUUUAUUAGGCUUUCUAGCACUUGAUGUUCUCUUGCAAGCAGUUGAAGUUUAAUUUCACCUGAUAUAAAUGCACUUCCCUUGUCGGUCA